AUUUGUGUUUCUUCAGUGGGAAUGCUGUGGGGCGUUUGGAGCAGAUGACUGGAACCUCAACGUUUACUUCAACUGCACAGACAGCAACCCCAGCCGUGAAAAAUGUGGCGUGCCCUUCUCCUGUUGCACCAAAGACCCAGCGGAGGAUGUUAUCAACACACAGUGUGGAUAUGAUGUUCGGGCAAAAUCGGACGCAGAGCAGAAGACAUACAUUCAUGUCAAAGGCUGUGUGCCGCAGUUUGAGAAAUGGCUACAGGACAACCUGACGGUAGUGGCUGGGAUCUUCAUCGGCGUCGCUCUGCUGCAGAUAUUUGGAAUAUGCCUUGCACAAAAUUUAAUCAGCGAUAUUGAAGCUGUGAGAGCCAGCUGGGUGCCGCCCCCCUCUUACGUCGCCUGCCGCCCCCCGUCCCACUACAGCAAGAAAGCCUCUGUGUACUCCUGAGGGAGGUUGGCCUGUUUGUUCACAUGAAGUGGCAGCUAGUCGUUCAGACACUCACAGGCCUAUGCCAGCAUGAUGAAGGUAGCAAAUGAUGAACACAAGAUGCCAAGUGCACUGGAUUGUGUGUGUGUGUGCGUGUGCACAGUAAUCUUUUACCAUCUAUAAAUAGUGCUACUUUUUCUAGAGUGUUUUAUGUGUCAAAACACACGUGUAAUGUGAAAAAAUAUUUGUGUCCACAGAGGCUGCGUUAACCAAAAAAAUGUCCACCAUUUGCCGGACUGCAAAAACAUUACAAAAAGCAUCAUUCAAAACGCUUUCCGUCACUUUGACAAAAAAGAAAUAAUAGGCAAAAGCAUAUCUGAAAUGUUUUCUUGUAAAAUGAAUCGGGUGUGUCUCAAUCGGCUCACUAGUCAGCACACUGUCCAGGGCACUGAACGUUUCUCACUAAAAAAUCCCACAAUGCACUACAUACUAUGUACUAAUGUUAAAUAUCACAUAAACAUUUUAAUAACAACAAAUGAGAUUAUUUUGGCAUAAUGAUUUUAUUUUAUUAAGCUACACUCUAAAUUAAACUUUAAUGCAUUAGUAACUAACAUGAUAAUAUCCAUACAAAGUAACAAAUGAAUGUGAUUAGCUACUUCAGGUGGCAGUAAUGCAGUAAUGCAACACAUAUGUUCUUCCACUCCGAGAACUGAUAAAUCGAACCUACCGGUUUCAUCGGACUAAAUGAAUGGUCAAAAGACACCAUGAUAAUAACAACAGGCCAUAUGUAUUAGCUGGUUACUUCUUAAAGGGACAGUUCACCCAAAAAUGAAAUUCUUGUCAUCGUUUACUCACCCU